rnacentral:rRNA from 1 species
UUUGACCUCGGAUCAGGUAGGGAUACCCGCUGAACUUAAGCAUAUCAAUAAGCGGAGGAAAAGAAACCAACAGGGAUUGCCCUAGUAACGGCGAGUGAAGCGGCAACAGCUCAAAUUUGAAAUCUGGCCCUCUUUGGGGGUCCGAGUUGUAAUUUGCAGAGGGUGCUUUGGCAUUGGCGGCGGUCUAAGUUCCUUGGAACAGGACAUCGCAGAGGGUGAGAAUCCCGUACGUGGGCGCCUGCCUUUGCCGUGUAAAGCCCCUUCGACGAGUCGAGUUGUUUGGGAAUGCAGCUCUAAAUGGGAGGUAAAUUUCUUCUAAAGCUAAAUACCGGCCAGAGACCGAUAGCGCACAAGUAGAGUGAUCGAAAGAUGAAAAGUACUUUGGAAAGAGAGUAAAAUAGCACGUGAAAUUGUUGAAAGGGAAGCGCUUGCAGCCAGACUUGCCCGCAGUUGCUCACCUAGGCUUUGGCCUGGGGCACUCUUCUGCGGGCAGGCCAGCAUCAGUUUGGGCGGUUGGAUAAAGGCCUCUGUCACGUAUCUCCCUUCGGGGUGACCUUAUAGGGGAGGCGUAAUGCAACCAGCCCGGACUGAGGUCCGCGCAUCUGCUAGGAUGCUGGCGUAAUGGCUGUAAGCGGCCCGUCUUGAAACACGGACCAAGGAGUCUAACAUCUAUGCGAGUGUUUGGGUGUCAAGCCCGGGCGCGUAAUGAAAGUGAACGGAGGUGGGAACCCUUUGGGUGCACCAUCGACCGAUCCUGAUGUCUUCGGAUGGAUUUGAGUAAGAGCAUAGCUGUUGGGACCCGAAAGAUGGUGAACUAUGCUUGAAUAGGGUGAAGCCAGAGGAAACUCUGGUGGAGGCUCGCAGCGGUUCUGACGUGCAAAUCGAUCGUCAAAUUUGGGCAUAGGGGCGAAAGACUAAUCGAACCAUCUAGUAGCUGGUUCCUGCCG